rnacentral:rRNA from 1 species
UACGUAGGGGGCAAGCGUUGUCCGGAUUUAUUGGGCGUAAAGAGCGUGUAGGCGGCUAUACAGGUCCGUUGUGAAAACUGGAGGCUUAACCUCCAGACGUCGAUGGAAACCGUAUGGCUAGAGUCCGGAAGAGGAGAGUGGAAUUCCUGGUGUAGCGGUGAAAUGCGCAGAUAUCAGGAAGAACACCCGUGGCGAAGGCGACACGCUGGGCCGUACCUGACACUGAUGCGCGACAGCAUGGGGAGCAAACAGG